GACAGAGGAGGCAAGCGUUAUCCGGAAUUAUUGGGCGUAAAGCGUUCGUAGGUGGUCUAACAAGUCUGGGGUCAAAGCCCGGAGCCCAACUCCGGAUCGGCCUUGGAAACUGUCAGACUGGAGUAAGGUAGGGGUUGCGGGAAUUCCCGGUGUAGCGGUGAAAUGCGUAGAUAUCGGGAAGAACACCAGCGGCGAAAGCGCGCAACUAGGCCAUUACUGACACUGAGGGACGAAAGCUAGGGGAGCGAAUGGG
rnacentral:rRNA from 1 species